rnacentral:rRNA from 1 species
UACGGAGGAUGCAAGCGUUAUCCGGAUUUAUUGGGUUUAAAGGGUGCGCAGGCGGGUUUGUAAGUCAGUGGUGAAAAACUGCCGCUUAACGGUAGUCUUGCCAUUGAUACUGCAAAUCUUGAGUUUGGUUGAGGUAGGCGGAAUGUGCAGUGUAGCGGUGAAAUGCAUAGAUAUUGCACGGAACACCAAUUGCGGAGGCAGCUUACUAAACCAUUACUGACGCUCAUGCACGAAAGCGUGGGGAGCAAACAGG